rnacentral:rRNA from 1 species
GAUGAACGCUGGCGGCGUGCCUAAUACAUGCAAGUAGAACGCUGAAGGAAGGAGCUUGCUCUUUCCGGAUGAGUUGCGAACGGGUGAGUAACGCGUAGGUAACCUGCCUGGUAGCGGGGGAUAACUAUUGGAAACGAUAGCUAAUACCGCAUAACAGUAGAUGUUGCAUGACAACUAUUUGAAAGGGGCAAUUGCUCCACUACCAGAUGGACCUGCGUUGUAUUAGCUAGUUGGUGAGGUAACGGCUCACCAAGGCGACGAUACAUAGCCGACCUGAGAGGGUGAUCGGCCACACUGGGACUGAGACACGGCCCAGACUCCUACGGGAGGCAGCAGUAGGGAAUCUUCGGCAAUGGACGGAAGUCUGACCGAGCAACGCCGCGUGAGUGAAGAAGGUUUUCGGAUCGUAAAGCUCUGUUGUAAGAGAAGAACGAGUGUGAGAGUGGAAAGUUCACACUGUGACGGUAUCUUACCAGAAAGGGACGGCUAACUACGUGCCAGCAGCCGCGGUAAUACGUAGGUCCCGAGCGUUAUCCGGAUUUAUUGGGCGUAAAGCGAGCGCAGGCGGUUAGAUAAGUCUGAAGUUAAAGGCUGUGGCUUAACCAUAGUACGCUUUGGAAACUGUUUAACUUGAGUGCAGAAGGGGAGAGUGGAAUUCCAUGUGUAGCGGUGAAAUGCGUAGAUAUAUGGAGGAACACCGGUGGCGAAAGCGGCUCUCUGGUCUGUAACUGACGCUGAGGCUCGAAAGCGUGGGGAGCAAACAGG